GACGAACCGUGCGAACGUUAUUCGGAAUCACUGGGCUUAAAGGGCGCGUAGGCGGGUCGGUAAGUCAGGGGUGAAAUCCCACGGCCCAACCGUGGAAGUGCCUCUGAUACUGCCGGCCUCGAGGGGGAUAGGGGCGUGCGGAACUCAGGGUGGAGCGGUGAAAUGCGUAGAUAUCCUGAGGAACACCGGUGGCGAAAGCGGCGCGCUGGAUCCCUUCUGACGCUGAGGCGCGAAGGCUAGGGGAGCAAACGGG
rnacentral:rRNA from 1 species